GAAAUGCGAUAAUUAAUGUGAAUUGCAGAAUUCAGUGAAUCAUCGAGUCUUUGAACGCACAUUGCGCCCCCUGGUAUUCCGGGGGGCAUGCCUGUCCGAGCGUCAUUGCUGCCCUCAAGCACGGCUUGUGUGUUGGGCUUCCGUCCCUGGCAACGGGGACGGGCCCAAAAGGCAGUGGCGGCACCAUGUCUGGUCCUCGAGCGUAUGGGGCUUUGUCACCCGCUCCCGUAGGUCCAGCUGGCAGCUAGCCUCGCAGCCAAUCUUUUUAACCAGGUUGACCUCGGAUCAGGUAGGGAUACCCGCUGAACUUAAGC
rnacentral:misc_RNA from 1 species